CCUACGGGUGGCAGCAGUGGGGAAUAUUGCACAAUGGGGGAAACCCUGAUGCAGCGACGCCGCGUGAGUGAAGAAGUAUUUCGGUACGUAAAGCUCUAUCAGCAGGGAAGAAAAUGACGGUACCUGACUAAGAAGCCACGGCUAACUACGUGCCAGCAGCCGCGGUAAUACGUAGGGGGCAAGCGUUAUCCGGAUUUACUGGGUGUAAAGGGAGCGUAGACGGCAGGGCAAGUCUGGAGUGAAAUCCCAUGGCUUAACCAUGGAACUGCUUUGGAAACUGUGCAGCUAGAGUGCAGGAGAGGUAAGCGGAAGUCGUAGUGUAGCGGUGAAAUGCGUAGAUAUUAGGAGGAACACCAGUGGCGAAGGCGGCUUACUGGACUGUAACUGACGUUGAGGCUCGAAAGCGUGGGGAGCAAACAGGAUUAGAUACCCUUGUAGUC
rnacentral:rRNA from 1 species